rnacentral:lncRNA from 1 species
GAACUGAAUUUUACUGGUUAAUUGAAUUUUUUAGGGCAGUUUUUGGUUUUCUAUUCAGCUUUUAGUUUUUGCCUUUUCUCUCUUCCCCCUUCUAUUACAGUCCCAGGUUAAGGAUCUAGUUAUGGGUCUGUUGGGUAAGGGUGUGGAAGGGUUUUGGCAGAUCUGGUUGGGGUUUUCUUUUUACGACCUAUGUUUAGUGUUGGUAUAGGCUCUAAGGAGGGAACUUGAGAACGUCUUGAGUCUAUAGUGCUCAAAAAGAAGGUUGGAAGGUUUGAAUGGAUCAACCCUCCUUGGUCUUCACACGUGGCAGCUUGCUCUUCAAUCCAUGAGUGAAGCCUUUGUAGACUUGAAGUGGUCUGCUAACAUUACUCCCCUCCUCCAAACUGCGCUUGUCCUCAAGCGAAAAAUCUGAGUACUACUGGUAAAAACUUUUGGCAUUCUCUUAGGAAGCAUCAGCAGGUGACGAAUCUUGCUAAUGGACCAAGAUUUCAAGUUGCCCAACUUUGGUUCGAUGAUCCAAAAUGGCAAGGGGUUGGUGAAAUGUGGAGUUAGGUGGGUUAAGUGGCAGUACUGGAAUGUAAGAAUCCUAUCCUUCAUGAUAAGGUUUAAGGCUGGAAAUGUGAAAAACAAGAUGGAUUUUUGAGUAUGGUGGUAAAGCUAAUUUAUAGGCCAUGAACCCAAUUCUUUCAAGGAUUGAAAAAGGGCCAUAAAAUUUAGCUGCGGGCUUUUGAUUGCGUCGGGUGGCAACUGAACCUUGGCAAUAUGGUUGAAGGCGGAGUAAAACUUGAUCGCCGACUUGGAAUUCCAACUUGUGGUGAUUUUUGCCAUAGCUAUGCUUCAUUUUCUGUUGAGCUCGAAGCAAAUUUUGGUGUAGCAUCUUCAAAAAUCUCAUUAGCAUCAAUUGAGGAACUUCUAGCACAAUAUGAUAGCAAAUGAGGAGGAGGACGACCGUACACUACUUCAAAAGGGGUUGCUUUGAGAGAAGAGUGGAAAUUGGUAUUAUAACAAUAUUCUACCCAUGAGAACCAGUUAAUCCACUUGCUGGGUUGUUCACUUGUGAAACAGCGGAGGUACAUUGUGCGGUUGAUCAAGGUGAUAGGCUGAACUGAAUAAUAAUUUGGUGCCACAAACGAAAUAACUCUUUCGAAAAAGAACUUGUGAAGGUAACAUCAUGAACACUGAUGAUAAUUUCAAGUAACUCAUGUAAUUUAAAAAUAUGGUCAAAGAAAGAACGAGCGACACUUAUAUGGGUGGGAGAGAGGAAUAAAGUGGUUGUAUUUCAAAAAUCUGUACCUUCCACAAAAUCUAAAGAGAUAUCAGUCCAUAUUUGUUCAGGAAGAAGAAGAGGCUGGAGAAGACCGGCAGGUUGUAAAGUUUCAGAUUUGUGACGUUGGCAUGUACCACAAGCUCGAACAAAGUCACAUACAUAAAGUUUUAUUCUCGGCCAAUAGAAAUCACGAGUAAUUCUGUGCACUGUCUUUUGAUAUCCUUCACGACCUUGAUUAUGCAAGGCAGUCACCACAAGCUGGAUAGAUGGAGAGUGUUUGGAUAGAAAUACUAUUUUUAUAGAAAAGAAGGCCUUGCUUAAAACUCCAGGAAUCUGUUGUCGUGCUAUUCUGGACUUGAGAAAUUAGUUGUUUUAUCUCACCCGAUUCACGUUGUUCCUUUUGUAUGUCAUCAAACAAACUGAGUUGUGGCAUAGAAAUUGCCAAGAGGAUCGAUUGAUCCGCAUCUCGGCGUGAAAGAGCUUCUGCAACUAUGUUGUGGCGGCUAGCUUUAUAUUCCACUGUAAAAGAAAAACCCAAAAGUUUAUUAACCCAAUAGUGCUGAGGCGAAAAAAGAGACCUCUAUUCCAAUAAAAAUUUUAAAAUGUAGUGAUUUGUUCGCACGAUAAACUUGCACCCCCACAAGUAAGAGUUCCAGUAUUUGACAGCUUUAACCAAUUCAAUUAACUCUUUCUCAUAAGUUGGAAGAUUUUGACGACAAACCACCAUGGGUCUAUUGAAAUAAGCCAUAGGUUUGUUUUGUUGUAAGAGAACGGCCCCUAUGCCUACAUCCGAAGCAUCACAUUCAAUGACAAAAAGCUGAUCGAAAUCAGGUAGAGUGAGAAUAGAAAUGGUUGUCAUCACCUUCUUCAAUUCCCCAAAAGCUGUUACGGCAACUGCAGUCCAAUGUAAGUAAUUCUUUCGUAGCAUGACUGUGAGUGGGGUGGCUAUUAUUCCAUAAUUAUGGGCUUCUAUACUAGCCAUUAAGCUCUAAAAAUCCUCUUAACCCCCAAAUUGUUGUGGGCGUGGGCCAAUCCAGUACUGCAGAAAUCUUGGACUGGUCUAUCUGUACUCCUUGUGGUGUUAUAACAUGACCCAAGUAGGCAACCUGAUUCUGAGCAAAAGAACAUUUUGAUUUUUUAAGAAAUAACUUAUUAAGUGCCAAUAGAUGGAACACCAACUGCACAUGGUGGAGAUAUUCUGCCCAGGUUCGACUGAAAACAUAAUGUCGUCAAAAAAGACUUAACACGAAUUUUCUUAGAUAAGGUUGGAAUACCUCAUUCAUCAAGGCUUGGGAAGGUUGAAGGAGCCUUCAUGAGUCCAAACGGCAUUACAAAAAAAUCAAAGUGGCUGUGAUGUGUGAAACACUGUUUUUUCAAUAUCUGGAGGGUACAUGCAUACUUGAUGGUAACCGGACAAUAAAUCCAAUUUUGUGAAAAUUGGGCUUCUCCUAAUUCUUCCAAUAAUUCGUCAAUCACUACAAUGGAAAAUUUGUCUUUGAUUGUCCUGGAAUUCAACACUCGGUAAUCAACACAUAGCUCCUAAGGAAGGUGAACAACUAUGUCUGAUAAUUCCUUGUUGUAACAUAGCUGCACCUUACCUCUUAAUUUCAUCUUUUUGUCCAUGAGGGUAUCUAUAGGGAUGGGCGACAACCGGCCUUGCUCCCGGUUCCAAAGAAAUUCAAUGAUCAUGUCCUGCCAGAAGGAAGUUCCUUUGGGGUGUUGAAUAAUGAAGUGAACUCAGCCAACAAUUUUUGCAGUUGAAUGUCAGUAUCCUGUGAAAUAUUUAGGACGUCAAUGUUAGGUAAGAGCCUAGAAGGAGAAGUGUGGAUACCCUGUAACCCUCUUUGCUGUCCCUGUGUAAAAAAAGACAUACGCAUAAAAAUAAAAUCCCAAAGAAUGGAUCCCAAAGUGCGAAGCCAAUUAACUCUCAACACUACAUCAAAAUCACUUAAAGGAAGGACAAAUAAAUCAAUGGAGAAAGAGUAAGAUUCUAGUUGUAGUGAGGUUCCUUUACAAAUUCCAGGACUGCUGAGUUGUUGUCCAUUCCAUUGGCUACAUUAACCUUUCAUCCAUCUCUUUUGUUCACUUGGGUAUUUAACUAAGCAACUACAAAUGCAUAGAUAAAGUUGUGGGUGUUGCCCGAGUCGAUGAGGACCAGGACGUGUCCACCGCUCCACACACCCUCCAAACGCAUAGUUUGGGAGUUCUGAAUUCCAGUAAUAGCAUUUAGUGAGAUUUCAAGAGAUUUCAGGAGGUGAUUCUUCUUGUGUAUGUGGAAUUGAGUAGUCCAUCUCCUCUUCUUCGAUCAAAUCAAUCCAAAAUAAUUUCUUGCAUUGAUGCCCACGGACAAAGGGUUCAUUGCAAUUAAAACAAAGCCUUUCUUUUGUCUCUCCUCCAACUCUUCCUAACUCAGCCUUUUCACAGUUUGAUUUGGUUGAACCUCCAUGGUAGAUGAAGCUCGUCUGUUUUCUCGGAACCCUGAUGAUCUUGGAAACAAUUUAGGUUCAUAUAGUCUAGACAUGCUCAUGGCUGUGACCAAAUCUUUGGGUUGAUGGAGCUCUACUUCAAUUGCUAUGGCGUCCUAUAGUCCAUUGAGGUAAAGCUAGACUUUUUGAUUCUGAGUAAGGACGCUAGCCUGAGAUACCAGAAUCUCAAACUUGUUUUGGUGUCGACCACCGUGCCCAACUGUUUGAGCUUGGCUAAUUCACCCAAUUUGUUACUUUGGAUUGGAGGUCCAAACCGGAGAUUGGAUUGGUGUUUGAACUCUUCCAUAACAGGAUAAGAUACAUCCUGUAGCAUCUGCAUAUACCAUAAUUGAGCAAUUCCCUCUAAAUGAUAGGAAGCUAAGCUCACUUUUUCGUCUUCUGGUGUCAAUUGGUGACGGAAGAAAUGCUCACAACGGCUAAGCCAGCCCAAGGGGUCUUCUAGCCCAUUAAACCGAGGAAAAUCAAGUUUGGUAAACUUUGGGACAAUGGAGUUUUCUUCAGAAUUUUCAAAAAUUGCUGCUCCAGAAAUUCCCUUGUCUUUACGUGUCUUGGAUUGGCUUGCCGCGCUAGUGAAUGACAUCCUUUGUUUUGCAAUUUCCAAGUACUGAGACAUUGUGUCCAUUUUGGCAUGAAUUUGUUCCACUUUCUCAUAUUGAGACUUGUUGGCUUGUUGCUUGGCUAAAAGUAAGGCAAAGAGUUUAUUGAGUUGUUCUUGUAUGGAGUCGCCCAUAACUAGUGGCUCUGAAAUUUGUUACGGUCCCGGAUUAAGGAUCUAGUUAUGGUCUGUUGGGUAAGGGUGUGGAAGUGUUUUGGCAGAUCUGGUUGGGGUUUUUCUUUUUAUGACCUAUGUUUACUGUUUGUACAGGCUCUAAUGAGGGAACCUGUGAACCUCUUGAGUCUAUAGUGCUCAAAAACUGAUUGAAUUGGAAGUUGCUUUCUUAUUGAUUUGUUGCGUUUAAAUACAUGGCUAGAGGUUAAAUACUGCCUGAAUUGAAGGAACAACACUUCAAAGUGGAGGACACACUCCUACAAAAAUGGUAACACAAAUGCAUAAAGGAAGUGGAGGAACACCCUCCUACAAAACUGGACUUUCAAUUAAAAAUAAAAAAUAUAAUCUAAAUUUAAAAAUUCUGGAAGGUUGGAAGGUUUGAAUGGAUCAACCCUCCUUGGUCUUCACACGUGGCAGCUUGCUCUUCAAUCCACGAGUGAAGCGUUUGUAGACCUGAAGUGGUCCGCUAACACCUCCCCACCCUCUGGCCCAAAAAAAUGCCAUUAGCAUCCUUAUCUCUAGAUGGUCAUUUCAUGUAAAUCUUGUUUAUUAACUGCCAAACAUUCGUGGACUUAUUUCAUAGCUUAUAUUGAAUUACGGUCUUGUAGAACCUUUCAACUUAAUGAAACUUUUGGAUCAGGUAACAUGCCUGUGGUACUUCCAUUGAAGAUUUUUGGGAAAAUUUUUAGUAUUCUUGUAUUUCACUCUUGAUUUGUACAAUAUGUCUACAUGGCUAUUUAUACACAAAGAAUCAUAUCUAAACAGGAAGCAAAUAAUCAAAUAAUAAUUACAGAGAUAAUUAAGGAUCCUAAUCAAAUCAAAUCAAAUCCCUAGAAUCAAUUAGGAUUAGCAAAU